rnacentral:miRNA from 1 species
UGGUCGUAUGUGUGACGUCAUU